CCCUGCUUCCAGGAAAAGCCUCUAAGCAUCAGGUAACAUCAAAUCGUACCCCAAACCGACACAGGUGGUCAGGUAGAGAAUACCAAGGCGCUUGAGAGAACUCGGGUGAAGGAACUAGGCAAAAUGGUGCCGUAACUUCGGGAGAAGGCACGCUGAUAUGUAGGUGAAGCGACUUGCUCGUGGAGCUGAAAUCAGUCGAAGAUACCAGCUGGCUGCAACUGUUUAUUAAAAACACAGCACUGUGCAAACACGAAAGUGGACGUAUACGGUGUGACGCCUGCCCGGUGCCGGAAGGUUAAUUGAUGGGGUUAGCGGUAACGCGAAGCUCUUGAUCGAAGCCCCGGUAAACGGCGGCCGUAACUAUAACGGUCCUAAGGUAGCGAAAUUCCUUGUCGGGUAAGUUCCGACCUGCACGAAUGGCGUAAUGAUGGCCAGGCUGUCUCCACCCGAGACUCAGUGAAAUUGAACUCGCUGUGAAGAUGCAGUGUACCCGCGGCAAGACGGAAAGACCCCGUGAACCUUUACUAUAGCUUGACACUGAACAUUGAGCCUUGAUGUGUAGGAUAGGUGGGAGGCUUUGAAGUGUGGACGCCAGUCUGCAUGGAGCCGACCUUGAAAUACCACCCUUUAAUGUUUGAUGUUCUAACGUUGGCCCGUAAUCCGGGUUGCGGACAGUGUCUGGUGGGUAGUUUGACUGGGGCGGUCUCCUCCUAAAGAGUAACGGAGGAGCACGAAGGUUGGCUAAUCCUGGUCGGACAUCAGGAGGUUAGUGCAAUGGCAUAAGCCAGCUUGACUGCGAGCGUGACGGCGCGAGCAGGUGCGAAAGCAGGUCAUAGUGAUCCGGUGGUUCUGAAUGGAAGGGCCAUCGCUCAACGGAUAAAAGGUACUCCGGGGAUAACAGGCUGAUACCGCCCAAGAGUUCAUAUCGACGGCGGUGUUUGGCACCUCGAUGUCGGCUCAUCACAUCCUGGGGCUGAAGUAGGUCCCAAGGGUAUGGCUGUUCGCCAUUUAAAGUGGUACGCGAGCUGGGUUUAGAACGUCGUGAGACAGUUCGGUCCCUAUCUGCCGUGGGCGCUGGAGAACUGAGGGGGGCUGCUCCUAGUACGAGAGGACCGGAGUGGACGCAUCACUGGUGUUCGGGUUGUCAUGCCAAUGGCACUGCCCGGUAGCUAAAUGCGGAAGAGAUAAGUGCUGAAAGCAUCUAAGCACGAAACUUGCCCCGAGAUGAGUUCUCCCUGACUCCUUGAGGGUCCUGAAGGAACGUUGAAGACGACGACGUUGAUAGGCCGGGUGUGUAAGCGCAGCGAUGCGUUGAGCUAACCGGUACUAAUGAACCGUGAGGCUUAACCUUACAACGCCGAAG
rnacentral:rRNA from 1 species